rnacentral:rRNA from 1 species
UACGAAGGGGGCUAGCGUUGUUCGGAAUUACUGGGCGUAAAGCGCGCGCAGGCGGUUCUUCAAGUCAGUGGUGAAAGCCCGGAGCUCAACUCCGGAAUUGCCUUUAAAACUGCAUCGCUAGAAUUGUGGAGAGGUAAGUGGAGUUCCGAGUGUAGAGGUGAAAUUCGUAGAUAUUCGGAAGAACACCAGUGGCGAAGGCGACUUACUGGACACAUAUUGACGCUGAGGUGCGAAAGCGUGGGGAGCAAACAGG